GGCAAGGUAACAAUCAAAUCCACAGCAGGAAAAUAUAUAAUCAUAUUCAUCCUAAAUUACUCGGUUCAAGUCACAGCAUGAUAAUCAAUCACAAAAUGAAUACAUAGAAUUGCUGUUCAUCUCAGAAUAGGAAUCAUUGUCAUUACCAGGCUGAUUACACGGGACAACUCCUUGUGCAAUGAGUGUCCACUGUACACCACCCUGGUAAUACAGGUUGGUUUGACUGAACCAUUCUUCUCAUAUGAACCUGAAGCAUAAUUGCACUAGCUUUGCACUUGUUUUUCUCAAUACCAUUUAUGGCUCCAUCAAUCUAACAUAUAAUAAUACAGCUGGACAAAACAACUUCUAUUAAAAUGAAAUUGGUACCUUC
rnacentral:misc_RNA from 1 species